rnacentral:rRNA from 1 species
AACGAACGCUGGCGGCAUGCCUAACACAUGCAAGUCGAACGAAGCCUUCGGGCUUAGUGGCGCACGGGUGCGUAACGCGUGGGAAUCUGCCCUUGGGUUCGGAAUAACAGUUAGAAAUGACUGCUAAUACCGGAUGAUGUCUUCGGACCAAAGAUUUAUCGCCCAAGGAUGAGCCCGCGUAGGAUUAGGUAGUUGGUGGGGUAAUGGCCCACCAAGCCGACGAUCCUUAGCUGGUCUGAGAGGAUGAGCAGCCACACUGGGAGUGAGACACGGCCCAGGCUCCUACGGGAGCCAGCAGUGGGGAAUAUUGGACAAUGGGCGAAAGCCUGAUCCAGCAAUGCCGCGUGAGUGAUGAAGGCCUUAGGGUUGUAAAGCUCUUUUACCAGGGAUGAUAAUGACAGUACCUGGAGAAUAAGCUCCGGCUAACUCCGUGCCAGCAGCCGCCGUAA